rnacentral:rRNA from 1 species
GACGAACGCUGGCGGCGUGCUUAACACAUGCAAGUCGAACGGAAAGGCGAUGCUCUUGUGGGGUGCUCGAGAGGCGCACGCGUGAGUAUAACGUGAGUAACCUGUCCUUAACUUUGGGGUAAAUUCAGGGGAAUCGGGAUAAUACAGCAUAUGAGAUCCUGCUGCACGGUGGGGGUUGGAAAGAUUCGGCGGUUGGGGAUGGAAGCGAGGCUUAUCAGCUUGUUGGUGGGGUAGUGGCGUACCAGGGCUUUGACGGGUAGCCGGCCUGGGAGGGUGACCGGCCACAUUGGGACUGAGGUACGGCCCAGACUCCUACGGGAGGCAGCAGUGGGGAAUAUUGCACAAUGGGCGGAAGCCUGAUGCAGCAACGUCGCGUGCGGGAUGACGGCCUUCGGGGUGUAAACCGCUUUCGCCUGUGACGAAGCGUGAGUGACGGUAAUGUGUAAAGAAGCACCGGCUAACUACGUG